rnacentral:rRNA from 1 species
GAUGAACGCUGACAGAAUGCUUAACACAUGCAAGUCAACUUGAAUUUGGGUUUUUAACUUAGGUUUGGGUGGCGGACGGGUGAGUAACGCGUAAAGAACUUGCCUCACAGCUAGGGACAACAUUUGGAAACGAAUGCUAAUACCUAAUAUUAUGAUAAUAGGGCAUCCUAUAAUUAUGAAAGCUAUAAGCGCUGUGAGAGAGCUUUGCGUCCCAUUAGCUAGUUGGAGAGGUAACGGCUCACCAAGGCGAUGAUGGGUAGCCGGUCUGAGAGGGUGAUCGGCCACAAGGGGACUGAGACACGGCCCGUACUCCUACGGGAGGCAGCAGUGGGGAAUAUUGGACAAUGGACCGAGAGUCUGAUCCAGCAAUUCUGUGUGCACGAUGAAGUUUUUCGGAAUGUAAAGUGCUUUCAGUUGGGAAGAAACAAAUGACGGUACCAACAGAAGAAGUGACGGCUAAAUACGUG